UCAUGGAGGAGAAGAAGUGAACUUAGAGGAGAAACAAACCAAAGCAACGAUCCAACAUCACUACCAACGUUUGUAUCGAUACUAUUGAUACUUAGAUCGAUCCGCUCAGCCUGAUCUCCUGGAUCUGACCUGAGAACAGCGUUAAUCUCUGUCUGUGGGCUCAGCGAAAGCUGAUCAUCAGGAGGAGGAGAGUCUGACGGAGCAGCAGAGGAACAUUUUCAGCCUCUACAGAGGAAACAAUGAGUUCAACACAACAGGACCAACAUGGAGCGAGAAGUCAGCACUCUCAGGAGGCUGAUAAACCUCACAGAAGGAAGGGAGGAAAAAAAUACACCUGUGAUCAGUGUGGGAAGGAUUUUACCUCGAAGAGUAACCUAAAAAUACAUCAAGUCAUCCACACUGGAGAGAAGCCAUUCAGCUGUGACUUGUGUGGAAAGUCUUUUACCCAGGCUGGAAGCUUAAAAACACACCAGCUCAUCCACAGUGGAGAGAAACCAUACAGCUGUGACCAGUGUGGCAGAGUUUUCACUUACAGUAGCUACUUAAAGAAGCAUCAAGUUACCCACUCUGGAAUUAAGGCAUACAGCUGUGACUAUUGUGGAAAAACUUUCAGUCAGCUAGGGAACAGAAAUAUACACCUGCGUAUUCACACUGGACAUGAUGUGUACAGCUGUGAUCAGUGUGGCAAAAAGUUUGGAACAGACUCACAGUUACAAUCCCACAUGUUUACCCACACUGAGGAGAGAC